rnacentral:rRNA from 1 species
CCCUUAGAUGUUCUGGGCUGCACGCGCGCUACACUGAAGCGUUCAACGAGUAUUCACCUUGCCCGGGAGGGUUGGGUAAUCUUUUGAAAACGCUUCGUGAUGGGGAUAGAUUAUUGCAAUUAUUAAUCUUCAACGAGGAAUUCCUAGUAAGCGCGAGUCAUCAGCUCGUGCUGAUUACGUCCCUGCCCUUUGUACACACCGCCCGUCGCUCCUACCGAUUGAAUGGUCCGGUGAAGCCUCGGGAUUGCGAAUGCUUCGUGCGGACGCGAGAACUUGGCUAAACCUUACCAUUUAGAGGAAGGUGAAGUCGUAACA